AUGGGUGACACAUGUCAUUUAUUUGAAAGGGGCCAUUGCUCCACUACAAGAUGGACCUGCGUUGUAUUAGCUAGUAGGUGAGGUAAUGGCUCACCUAGGCGACGAUACAUAGCCGACCUGAGAGGGUGAUCGGCCACACUGGGACUGAGACACGGCCCAGACUCCUACGGGAGGAGCAGUAGGGAAUCUUCGGCAAUGGGGGCAACCCUGACCGAGCAACCCGCUUGAGUAAAGAAGGUUUUCGGAUCGUAAAGCUCUGUUGUAAGUCAAGAACCGGUGUGAGAGUGGAAAGGUCACACUGUGACGGUCGCUUACCAGAAAGGGACGGCUAAAUA
rnacentral:rRNA from 1 species